rnacentral:rRNA from 1 species
UAACUGAGCUAGCGGCGGACGGGUGAGUAAUGCUUAGGAAUCUGCCUAUUAGUGGGGGACAACAUUCCGAAAGGAAUGCUAAUACCGCAUACGCCCUACGGGGGAAAGCAGGGGAUCUUCGGACCUUGCGCUAAUAGAUGAGCCUAAGUCAGAUUAGCUAGUUGGUGGGGUAAAGGCCUACCAAGGCGACGAUCUGUAGCGGGUCUGAGAGGAUGAUCCGCCACACUGGGACUGAGACACGGCCCAGACUCCUACGGGAGGCAGCAGUGGGGAAUAUUGGACAAUGGGCGAAAGCCUGAUCCAGCCAUGCCGCGUGUGUGAAGAAGGCCUUUUGGUUGUAAAGCACUUUAAGCGAGGAGGAGGCUACCGAGAUUAAUACUCUUGGAUAGUGGACGUUACUCGCAGAAUAAGCACCGGCUAACUCUGUGCCAGCAGCCGCGGUAAUACAGAGGGUGCGAGCGUUAAUCGGAUUUACUGGGCGUAAAGCGUGCGUAGGCGGCUUCUUAAGUCGGAUGUGAAAUCCCUGAGCUUAACUUAGGAAUUGCAUUCGAUACUGGGAAGCUAGAGUAUGGGAGAGGAUGGUAGAUUCCAGGUGUAGCGGUGAAAUGCGUAGAGAUCUGGAG